AUCUAUGGUGGGCACAGCCCCCUGUACCGCCUGUCACAUCUCUGCCUGUUCACUCACUUGCCCUCCCAUCCACACACCCACCCCCCCCCGCCCCCCUUCAGCCCCAAGCACCGUCCCCCUCUCCUCUCUAACCCCUUCUCCAUGUUCCCCUUCUUCUCCCUCCCUCUCCCCCUCAAUUUGUUGUGUGCCUUUUGAAUCUGAAUCUGGAUUACAGAUUACCACAUAUUGUUUCCACUCAAAUGCAAUGGUGACAUCACUGGCAGGACUAAAAUCUAAAAGUGCACAGGUAUCUCAAAGGAAGUCCCCUUAAAGAUCGCAAUGGUCAGUUUUAUGUCACGUAUAAAGGAUAGCUGUAUAGAUGGUGAACAAAUUCCCAGGGCCCCAAGAUGUGUCUCCAAAGGGCUUUCUACAAAAGGGCAAUAUUAAAACUGCCCCUAACAAGCACAAGCUCUAUUAUUUAACAUUUGUCAUCGGAAAAUGUCCAUUUAAAAAAAAAAAAAUGCUUUCAUUUCAUCACUGCUUUUAUUCCAUUCAUUUACCUUUUGGACCAGUUAAAUCGCUUCAGAUACAACCUACGUAACACUGCAUUUUAUCCGUAUCAUGUUAUCACCACCAUACUUUCAAUGCCCCUAAGGUGGAGUUUUGUACAUUUCCCAACCACUCUUAGCUAACGUAGCAGAGCUGUCCAGCAGGUUGCGGGAGCUUUUCUUGGCAUUAUUGGUUCUCUGAACUUUGAUGGUUGAAGUUCAAAGUUCAUACUCUCCCUGGAGGAGGGAUUCCUGGGUUGAUUUCAGUGUUUCGCAGCGCAGCUAAGAUCAGUUGGGUGGUUUCAGUCAUGUCAAAGUUUUUAAAACCGAAUGGCUUAGCGAUAGCUUUGCCAGCGCCAGUUAUAGUGCCAGGCUUUGGCCAAAGCUGAUUUAGUGUUUUUCUACCUCAAGAGAAUGUUCUGAGCUCUUUUCUGUGUCUUUGCAUUCCUGACUGUUUGUACUGAAUGAUUUCCCGCACAUGUAAAUGCUCGAAGCAAAGCCAUGUUGGUCUAGCCCCACAGAUAUAGUGCUUUACAUGUAAGCUUACUUGCCUUAGCCAUUAGCCACAUCAGUCUGUCACCAAGCUUUUUUUUUGUUUUGUCUGUCUGUCUGUUUGUUUUGUUGUUUAUCUGCACAUGCUGUACGUAUAUAAACAUUUCUCACCACUCUAUGAGGCUGACAUAAACCCCUUCACAUGUUUGAGUGUCACACAUGCCAAACCAAACCAUGACUAUCAGCAGAGACUCUCUCUCUCUCUCUGGUCCCCUGUUUCGGGGUGGCUGGUCGCUCUAACGCCUCGGGCGGCUCUCUCUAUGGUUCCAGUACUCUCCCAG